rnacentral:rRNA from 1 species
AAAACGACUCCUCGCAACGGAUAUCUCGGCUCUCGCAUCGAUGAAGAACGUAGCGAAAUGCGAUACUUGGUGUGAAUUGCAGAAUCCCGUGAAUCAUCGAGUCUUUGAACGCAAGUUGCGCCCGACGCCAUUCGGCCGAGGGCACGUCUGCCUGGGUGUCACG